GCUGAAGUCCGACACUUAAUCGACUAAGCCCCAUAGGCACCCCAAAAAUCUUCCACUUUAAGGAGUCUGUCCUACUACAUUUCUGAUGGCUAAUCAUCCAGUGUUGGUUUGAAUUCGUACCUUACUCUUACUAGCUAUGACCCACUAUGGGUAUUUUUAAGAAAUGCAAAACAUUGGAAAGGCAUGAAAAAAAUGAGGAGUUGUAAGCAUAGUAAAAAGUUUAGAAAACUUCAAUGGAGCUUUGCUUAUGUUAGAGAAAAGAGAAAAUCUUAGGCAAGUGUGAUAAAGAAAUGACAAGAAAGAUUUCCAGAUGGGAAGACUAUGCACUUGCUCUGUGAGUUCUGGCAUCACUUAGAUUUAAGUACUUCCCUUUAUCUUUUGCUUUCAAACUGAAGAAAUCUUUUAUACUUAAAAUUCUAUUGAUGUAUCUUUCCCUUUUGCUCAAGAUAAUACUCAGUAUACAUGUGUUUUUCAGUUUUCAUUAUAACUGAAUAGUAAGAGUUCAUACUUUUUAUGGUGUGUAAUGAAAAAAUAUGAUUUCUUCCUAAAACUUAUUAUCUCUCUUACCCAUCUACCUUCACUAUCUCAUCGAAUUUUUUCUCUCUUCCAAGUUUUGUGCUCCAUUUUCCAUCAUAUUUGGUAUUACAAAAAUAGAGCUGCUGUUCAUCCCCUCACAUAGCUCUCCUCUACAAUAUUGUGAGUGUAUACAUGAGCAAGAGUCUUGUUCUUAAAGAGUCAUUACUACACUGAAGAAUCAAUCCACUAAGCAUAGCUCUUACUUUUUGUAAAAAAGAUAUCGAGAAAGUAUGAGAUCAAGUUAAAAUGCUGACUUUGAAAGAGACUAAAGCUGCAGCAUAUAAUAGGAACCAUGUACUAAGAAUGUCCUCUUUUCCUCACACUGUUCCCUUCCUCACACUGUUCUUUUCCUCACACUGUUCCCUUCAGAAGAGCAGAGCUAUUUGUAGCCCCUAGAUGCAAGUACUGAAAGCUCUCUAUCUCUUGUCUACUUGUUCCUCAGGUAUUAGCUGAAAUACUGCUUUGUCUAACAAAGUCUUGUAUUUUACCUGGCCCAAAGUUCCAUGAGAAUAGUUUCUUCUUUCAUUAUUGUAUUUUCAACUUUUAUUGAACUAAUUGUUAUAUAGUAGUCAUUGUUGAAUUGGCUCAAUCAAUGAAUUAAAUGUAGAUCUUCUUUCCUUUCUGACUGAAGGCCAUAAAUAAUAUGGAUUGUGUGGAAAAGUUAGUUUUGGUUUUGUUUUUGUUUUUUGGCUUUUAACAUAGGAUUCACUCUUUGGAGCAACAUAUUACAAUAAAUGAAAUCAGGAAACUCAUUU